ACACAUGCAAGUCGAGCGGUAACAGAUCCAGCUUGCUGGAUGCUGACGAGCGGCGGACGGGUGAGUAAUGCAUAGGAAUCUGCCCGAUAGUGGGGGAUAACCUGGGGAAACCCAGGCUAAUACCGCAUACGUCCUACGGGAGAAAGGGGGCUCCGGCUCCCGCUAUGGGAUGAGCCUAUGUCGGAUUAGCUAGUUGGUGAGGUAACGGCUCACCAAGGCCACGAUCCGUAGCUGGUCUGAGAGGAUGAUCAGCCACAUCGGGACUGAGACACGGCCCGAACUCCUACGGGAGGCAGCAGUGGGGAAUAUUGGACAAUGGGGGCAACCCUGAUCCAGCCAUGCCGCGUGUGUGAAGAAGGCCCUCGGGUUGUAAAGCACUUUCAGCGAGGAAGAACGCCUGGCGGUUAAUACCCGCUAGGAAAGACAUCACUCGCAGAAGAAGCACCGGCUAACUCCGUGCCAGCAGCCGCGGUAAUACGGAGGGUGCAAGCGUUAAUCGGAAUUACUGGGCGUAAAGCGCGCGUAGGUGGCUUGAUAAGCCGGUUGUGAAAGCCCCGGGCUCAACCUGGGAACGGCAUCCGGAACUGUCAAGCUAGAGUGCAGGAGAGGAAGGUAGAAUUCCCGGUGUAGCGGUGAAAUGCGUAGAGAUCGGGAGGAAUACCAGUGGCGAAGGCGGCCUUCUGGACUGACACUGACACUGAGGUGCGAAAGCGUGGGUAGCAAACAGGAUUAGAUACCCUGGUAGUCCACGCCGUAACGAUGUCGACCAGCCGUUGGGUGCCUAGCGCACUUUGUGGCGA
rnacentral:rRNA from 1 species